UGUCCCUUCUGCUCGUCCAAUUCCCCCGCUUUUUUACUGCGCGCACGAUCGCUCUCGCAUACCACACGAAGUUUAAAUCCAAUGUUAAUUGUAUGCGCGGGCAAAAUCGAAUGUAAAAUCGACCGUUCGUCCAAGAACGAGCAACAUCGUUGUCCGCGGCGAGAGCGAAGACACGCGGCUUCACCGAUUUUCCCUUCGGUGUCAUCCACCAGGGCUACCAACUGCUUGUCUUCGGCCCCGCCGUCCCUCUAAUAAGAUAUUACCGAGAUAUGUACUUCCGAACGAAGUCCGAAUCCCAAGUAAUUUCGUACGCGCGUAGCUCCCAGCAUUAUGGGUCACGAUACCCUUCGUGUAGCCGUGGUUCUGUUUUGUCAAGAAAAUGAUGCGCAUAUGCAAAAGCGUCGUACUUAAUGAAACACACGCAAUAAUUAAAUAAUCAAUCAUUUUAGCAGGCUCAAAAUUUUUCGUUCGAUUAUCGACACCAAAUAAUAAUACACAAAGCGAAAAGAGAGGAAAAGAACGUUGAAAUACAUGUGCGAAAAAACUGCAACCGUCUUCGACAAUGUCGAACAUUUUCUUUCCACUCACACCUUCGAGCCUUUUUCGCGAUAAGAGAGACAAUUACAUUUUUUAUUCUACCUUUACUUUCUUUCUGUUUACGAUUCCGUUCUUUUCUUUCAAAUCGACGAAAAGCAUGGAAUAUUAAGAUAAACCGAAAAGAAGUGUUAACGGUAGAUGAACUUUUUUUAAGACGAUAAAAUCGAAACAAAAAGAGUAUAAUAUAAAUUCCGUUAUAUCAUCGUUAUACACACGAACAGAAGAAGCGAAAAAACCAGUAGCCGUCUAGCUAGUCUGUAAUAUUAUGGUUGUACUUUUUCAUACACCCCAUUGUGUAAAACUAUAAACGAUCGCUGUGGUAUUACCAAUUACAGAAUAAACGAUUGUAUCCCGACUUUAUUCGUCCGCGCUCACUUCACACGCCGACUCACUAUCCUCGAUUAUUCCAUUGCGUUUUCUUGGUUCGUGUCUACCCGUUCGUAGCGUUGGUGUCAUCAUUGUUUUUCCCUUUCUCAUUCUUUUUUCAUUAUUGUAUCCGUGAACCAUUCCGUCGAUUUUCAUUUUGAGAAUAACAUUCCAACGAUAGUAGACAAUCCGUUCGUUAGUCUGUUAGCACGAAAUUUUGUUAAGUAUGGUAAAGAAGUAAGUUUUGCGACACGAUGUCGACCAUUCGCUCCGUUCAAGUAACCAGCUGCGGUUAUUUUUUCCGAUAAAUUAGCACAUAAAAAUUUAUAUUUGCAUAAAGAUCUGCAAUCUAACUGUUACUAGCUGUCAUGUUGAUAUCAUUUUUUUACCGCAAAAGAAGAACCAUCGGUGCAUUACAAAUUGAUUGUUCGUUUAUUAAAUAAAUAGUGAACCGCUGAUGUGUGCUUAUAACGGGAGAAGGGCGAUCUUGGUGAUUCGUGUGUAAAAAGCGUGCAGCAAAAAAGCGAGGCAUGUUACAUGAAAAAAUAAAGACGAAAGGAACCGCGCGCAGAUAAUCGAGUUCUGCCUAGAAAAUCGGUGUGCAUUAUCGUGCCCCCCUCCCCUGUAUUUAGGUAUUAAUAACGAUAAAAAUUGAUAAUCAUGUUAUAAAGUACGUUACAAAGAAUAACUCAAAGUAAUAUCAACGGCACCGUAAGUAAGUAUAUGCGAGUAAUUUUAAGAACGUAAAAUUAGGGUAUCACGACGAAAUCGAUUGACGUGAUUCGUUUUCGAACACACCAUUGGAGAAGAAACGAGAAAUAAAUAAAAAAAAACGGAAAAAAGGAACGACUUUUAGAUGCGUGUGACCAUCGAGAAACGUAGAAGAUAACACGCAGGAAUGAAGAUCAAGAAAAAUAGAACGGAAAACUGCGCGAUCGAGAAUACGAAAAUGGAAGAACAGUGGAGGGACCGUAAAGAAAAUCGGGGAUCCAUCGGCAUAAGGAAUUAUAUCAUAGUAAAUGCGCGCAAGUGUUGGAGAGAUUUAGGUACAAUAAAAAUUUGUCAGUGGCAACGAGCGGUGUAGUGGAUUCCAAACGACGAUAAACUGUCAGAUACCUCAUCCAAUUACUUGCUUACACGAUGGAUUAAAAACAAGAUGAAGUAGUCCAACCGCGAUAACAAUUAAUGUCGUCCACGAUGUAGCGUGACUCAUAAGCGAAUGAGAAAAAAAGUAAAUGAAAACUUGUAGAGUGUUCCCGACUAACAGUAACAAUCGUAGGUAGACUGUCUGGUCGCCUGGAUUGUCCGUAGGACCUACUAAAGGCGAAUAGACGAUCGGUGUAUCGAUUCAGACCGCUUUUAAAUCUUUUAUUCAGAAUCGUUGUACGUGUUUAGCCGAUUUUUACAAAGACACAUCUACUUACUCCAUCUCUUACUAGAUGUACUCUGCUUGCUCUUGUCUCUCUCUUUCUCUCCAUCUCUCUCUCUCUUUCUCUCUUUUCUCACUCUUUCUGUAUUAUAAAUAUUAGUUAUCUGUAAUUAUCUUCAGUUCAUUCCAUCUUGUCGCUAACCCAGUUCAAGAGCGAAUAAUUAGACUUGGAUAUCAAAAUUUAUCGUCAUUUGGGAGGAGGCUAAAUUUGUCUUUGUUUUUAUUUUUUACGAACAAUUUUUUCCCCAAUUCGCAUGCGUUCUCACACACUUCUCUGUACGUACUACAAUCGAUACAAUUUUACCGGAUACGACAUUUUUCUGUAAAACCACACACGUGAAAGCUACAAAUAAAGUAAUUACAACUCUCUAUUCGUUCAGUAUAUUAUAUAUAAAUUAAAUUAUACUAUACUAUAUAAAUUAUUAUAUAUUAUUAAAUUAUAUAUAUAUAUUAAAUUGUACUGUACAUUAAAUGUAAACAAUGCAUGUGCGUGAUAUCAAGGCGUUUUCAUUGUAUGAUUCACUUUGCAGAGUGAAUCAUCCAACAUUAGAGCCUGCGAUGAUAUCUCUCGCGUUCGUAUUCAGCGAUUGAUUGUUCUUUAUGAUAUUAGUCUAACGAGAAAGUUCGUCGUGAUUAACAAACGCCUCGGCUGUCCAUUAACAUCCACCUGUUUCAGAAUUCGUUCCAAGCAUUUCAAUUGUCCGUUCCAAUCAUGAUCGGAGACAGGCUUGGGCUCAACGCCUUCGCGUCUAUUUAUCAUCGAGCGCUUUUCGAAGAUCUCAUUAAUUGAUCGUUCGUUCUGCGCCUGGCAGAUUUUAAUUUAAUGCUACGUAAUAUGUCAAGUGAGAUGACUGGCCCCGGUAUAGUAUUUCUUCCAUUUUCCUGAAUUACAAACAUCUCCCUUUACUCAACAAUUCAAAACACAAUUUUCAGGUAAAAAUCAUAUUAGAAGAAAUUACGAUACUUAACGAUAGAAGAAACCAUCAGAAACUUGGAGAUGAUACAUUGUACGAUAUUAUUGAAACAGAGAACAUUUUUUGCACUUUAUAAAUUACAAAUGUAUUGGGACAUUAAGAGUGUAAAUUCAUCCCCCAAACAGCUGUGGAGGAUGUGAUUCCUUUUUAUAACGCGUUAAUCCUCGCUGAUUUACCUUGGGAUUUUUAAAUAACAAUCCCCCUACCCCUGAGUGUCCGGUUGACUGGCAACGAAGGCUGAGAAACAAUUAAGUAGCAACUGAAAAUUGUGUCGCUCUAAUAAGCGUAUGAUUCAUAAAGUGUUCCCCUUAAGGGUUUGCCUCGAUCAUCUUCAACGGAUCUUCGACGGUUAUAGCUGGCCUAUUAAGCGACGGUACUUUCUCGAAUAGUUCUUUUCGAGUAGUCGGUGUGAUUGUUUUUAACGGCAACUGAAAUAAUGGAGCCGGAGAAGAAGGCGACGGUGCUGGAAAUAUCGCUUUCUUAUGUUUUCUGCAAUGUCUUCAGCUCUUCAAUUUAUUAUCUCAUUGUUUUCAGCCAACUUACUAUUCUUGUCUGUUGCGGCCCUCCGCGGCCAGUGUAACAGACAAAGCGUCUGCAAUCAGAUUAUCUUAAUCACUUAAAGAUCUUUAGCGUCAGCUCCUGCUCAUCAGUUGCAAAGGGCACAGAUUCCGGGAAAUAUUCCUCUUAAAAACCCUAAAAUAAAUUAUUCCCAUUACCAUCGAUCGCACGAAACGAACUUUAUCUCUGCGUCGAUUAACCAUCCCCUAUAAUAUAAGAUAAGAGUAAAAUUAUAACAACGACAAAGGUGCUAGCAAAAAUAAUCUUUAUUUGUUUUACGUUCAGGGAUUGUUUUAUUUAAAAUUGUCUACAUUAAAUUUCGUGAUUCAGCA